rnacentral:rRNA from 1 species
GACGAACGCUGGCGGCGUGCUUAACACAUGCAAGUCGAACGGGCCUGUCUUCUUUUUUGGGGGGUGGGUUGAGUGGCGAACGGGUGAGUAUCACGUGAGUAACCUGCCCUUCGGUCCUGGAUAACCGCUUGAAAGGGCGGCUAAUACGGGGUGGUCCGGUUGGUCCGCAUGGGCUGGUCGGGAUAGAUUCACUGUUUUUGGUGUUUCGGCGGGGGAUGGGCUCGCGGCCUUUCAGCUUGUUGGUGGGGUGAUGGCCUACCAAGGCGGUGACGGGUAGCCGGCCUGGGGGGGUGGGCGGCCGCACUGGGACGGAGAUACGGCCCAGACUCCUGCGGGAGGCAGCAGUGGGGGGUAUGGCACAAUGGGCGGAAGCCUGAUGCAGCGACGUCGCGUGAGGGAUGGAGGCCUUCGGGUUGUGAACCUCUGUUUCCGGUGGUGAAGGCCCUGUCCGUGUGGUGGGGUUGACGGUAGCCGGGGAUGAAGCGCCGGCUAACUACGU